rnacentral:rRNA from 1 species
UACGGAGGGUGCAAACGUUGCUCGGAAUUAUUGGGCGUAAAGCGCACGUAGGCGGACCAUCAAGUCGGUUGUGAAAUCCCUCGGCUUAACCGAGGACGUGCAUUCGAAACUGAUGGCCUUGAGUUCGAAAGAGGAUCGCGGAAUUCCCGGUGUAGAGGUGAAAUUCGUAGAUAUUCGGAAGAACACCAGUGGCGAAGGCGGCUCACUGGACUGGUAUUGACGCUGAGGUGCGAAAGCGUGGGGAGCAAACAGG